CCUACGGGGGGCUGCAGUGAGGAAUAUUGGUCAAUGGGCGCUAGCCUGAACCAGCCAAGUAGCGUGAAGGAUGACUGCCCUAUGGGUUGUAAACUUCUUUUAUAUGGGAGUAAAGUGCAGUAUGUAUACUGCUUUGCAUGUACCUUAUGAAUAAGGAUCGGCUAACUCCGUGCCAGCAGCCGCGGUAAUACGGAGGAUCCGAGCGUUAUCCGGAUUUAUUGGGUUUAAAGGGAGCGUAGGCGGGUUGUUAAGUCAGUGGUGAAAGUUUGCGGCUCAACCGUAAAAUUGCAGUUGAUACUGGCAGCCUUGAGUACAGUAGAGGUAGGCGGAAUUCGUGGUGUAGCGGUGAAAUGCUUAGAUAUCACGAAGAACUCCGAUUGCGAAGGCAGCCUGCUGGACUGUAACUGACGCUGAUGCUCGAAAGUGUGGGUAUCAAACAGGAUUAGAUACCCUAGUAGUC
rnacentral:rRNA from 1 species